rnacentral:rRNA from 1 species
GCCUAGCUUGCUAGGUGGAUUAGUGGCGCACGGGUGAGUAAUAUAUAGAUAACGUGCCUCUUAGUCUGGGAUAGCCAUUGGAAACGAUGAUUAAUACUAGAUAUUCCUUCUAACAAUAAUGUUAGUCGGGAAAGUUUUUCGCUAAGAGAUCGGUCUAUAUCCCAUCAGCUAGUUGGUAGUGUAAGAGACUACCAAGGCAAUGACGGGUAGCGGGUUUGAGAGGAUGAUCCGCCACACUGGUACUGAGACACGGACCAGACUCCUACGGGAGGCAGCAGUGAGGAAUAUUGCACAAUGGAGGAAACUCUGAUGCAGCAACGCCGCGUGGAGGAUGACGCAUUUCGGUGUGUAAACUCCUUUUAUAUGUCAAGAAAAUGACGGUAGCAUAUGAAUAAGCACCGGCUAACUCCGUGCCAGCAGCCGCGGUAAUACGGAGGGUGCAAGCGUUAUUCGGAAU